GACGAACGCUGGCGGCGUGCUUAACACAUGCAAGUCGAACGGAAAGGCCCUGCUUUUGUGGGGUGCUCGAGUGGCGAACGGGUGAGUAACACGUGAGUAACCUGCCCUUGUCUUUGGGAUAACUCCAGGAAACUGGGGCUAAUACCGGAUAGAAGCUCCUGCUGCAUGGUGGGGGUUGGAAAGUUUCGGCGGUUGUGGAUGGACUAGCGGGUUAUCAGCUUGUUGGUGGGGUAGUGGAUUACCAAGGCUUUGACGGGUAGCCGGCCUGAGAGGGUGACCGGCCACAUUGGGACUGAGAUACGGCCCAGACUCCUACGGGAGGCAGCAGUGGGGAAUAUUGCGCAAUGGGCGGGAGCCAGAUGCAGCAACGCCGCGUGCGGGAUGACGGGCUUCGGGUUGUAAACCGCUUUCGCCUGUGACGAAGCGUGAGUGACGGUAAUGGGUAAAGAAGCACCGGCUAACUACGUG
rnacentral:rRNA from 1 species